GGCAGACGGGUGAGUAACGCGUGGGAACCUACCUUUAGGUACGGAACAACAGUUGGAAACGACUGCUAAUACCGUAUGUGCCCUAUGCGGGAAAGAUUUAUCGCCUAAGCAUGGGCCCGCGUUGGAUUAGCUAGAUGGUGGGGUAAAGGCCUACCAAGGCGACGAUCCAUAGCUGGUCUGAGAGGAUGAUCAGCCACACUGGGACUGAGACACGGCCCAGACUCCUACGGGAGGCAGCAGUGGGGAAUAUUGGACAAUGGGCGCAAGCCUGAUCCACCCAUGCCGCGUGAGUGAUGAAGGCCCUAGGGUUGUAAAGCUCUUUCAGCGAGGAGGAUAAUGACGUUACUCGCAGAAGAAGCCCCGGCUAACUUCGUGCCAGCAGCCGCGGUAAUACGAAGGGGGCUAGCGUUGUUCGGAAUCACUGGGCGUAAAGCGCACCUAGGCGGACUUUUAAGUCAGGGCUGAAAUCCCGGGGCUCAACCCCGGAACUGCCUUUGAUACUGGAAGUCUUGAGUCCGAGAGAGGUGAGUGGAACUCCGAGUGUAGAGGUCAAAUUCGUAGAUAUUCGGAAGAACACCAGUGGCGAAGCCGGCUCA
rnacentral:rRNA from 1 species